GCCUCUGUAGCUCAGUUGGUUAGAGCGCUGCACUGGAAUCGCAGGGCCGCAGGUUAGAUUCCUGCCAGGGACC
rnacentral:tRNA from 1 species